AACGAACGCUGGCGGCAUGCCUAACACAUGCAAGUCGAACGAGACCUUCGGGUCUAGUGGCGCACGGGUGCGUAACGCGUGGGAAUCUGCCCUUGGGUUCGGAAUAACAGUUAGAAAUGACUGCUAAUACCGGAUGAUGUCUUCGGACCAAAGAUUUAUCGCCCAGGGAUGAGCCCGCGUCGGAUUAGCUAGAUGGUGAGGUAAAGGCUCACCAAGGCGACGAUCCGUAGCUGGUCUGAGAGGGUGAUCAGCCACACUGGGACUGAGACACGGCCCAGACUCCUACGGGAGGCAGCAGUGGGGAAUAUUGGACAAUGGGCGAAAGCCUGAUCCAGCAAUGCCGCGUGAGUGAUGAAGGCCUUAGGGUUGUAAAGCUCUUUUACCCGGGAUGAUAAUGACAGUACCGGGAGAAUACGCCCCGGCUAACUCCGUGCCAGCAGCCGCUGUAAUAC
rnacentral:rRNA from 1 species